CUCCUUCACGCGCUGGCCUUCAGAAAUACUCAUUUUUCUUACUACUGUUCCCUCUUCUCUUGUUUUCACAACAGCCUUGUGAGAAAUUGUUGAAGGCUGGUGCUAACUAUGAUUUAUGGUGGAAAGCAAAUGUGAACAUCAUCUCAGUCAACUGAUGCUGGGGAAAUUCCAUAGAAAUGACUGCUUUCUUUACUGAAAAAUCUCUAACUCGCUGGAAUCUGCACUGCAUAAUGGAACAUCUCUGUCAAAUAUGUAUGCUUUAUAUUUAUGCUGGAAACUGCACUAUCCACAUCUUAAAUGACAUAAAAGGAUUUAUAUUCAGAUAUUCAGAUUAAAAAUAACUUCCAGAUAACAAGAUUUAUGUUUUAAAAGACCUUAUCCAUUGUUAUAGCCAGGGCAUCAAUCCUGGAAACAGUUAAUAUACACAAAUGAUUAAAGCUAAAUGUGGCAGUAUUCACAGGACUAAGAUCUUGGCACCUUGAAGCCAAAAUCUAGAAGUCCUUAGAAGUGCCUUGAGAAUAUCUCAACAUGUCUUAUUUAUGUGAAUCUUAUUAAAAUACUUCUGUGAAGGAGCUUUACAAAUGACUGUUGAAUUUGAAAUACCAUGGGCUGACCAUGAGUGCAAUCCUAUGCACAUUUUAGACAGAAAAAGGCCUGUCUGGGGCAUGCUGGGCUUUUUUCUUUCUUUCUAACCAUGCAUAGGAUUACGUCUGAAGUUAGUUGGAACUUGGAUCCCAUUGAAGUCAAUUGGAUUUCCAUUAAUUAAUGACUAGCUUGUCCCAUUGAUUUCAAUAAGUUUAAUGGAGUUUGGAUCCUGCCCAGUUUUGUGGGUUUUUAUAUUGUAUAACAUUAUUUGCUAAAAGUCCAGUCUUUCAAAUACUCAGGUUUCCUUGCAUUUUUUUUAGCUUGGAAUUAGAAGUGUUGCCGCUUAGAGGAGAAUAAAAUGCACUGGUUUCUAUUACAGUGUGCAACAGGUAAAACUCAGUCAUUGAUUUUGGACUACAUCUGGAGGGUAUCAGGUUAGGAGAGGCUGUUCUAGAAAAAUGUGGUCUUCAGUUUCUAAAGAAUGCUGGUAUUAUAAAGGGAAGUGAAUGGCUUACUCCUUGUACCUACCUCGUUAAAUAAACUUUGCCACUGUGACUCAGCCCUGCCACUGGCAAACAGAUGAUUUAUAAAA